rnacentral:rRNA from 1 species
AAAGGGUGCGUAGGCGGUUUAUUACGUCAGUGGUGAAGGACGGUCGCUCAACGAUUGCAGUGCCAUUGAUACUGGUAGACUUGAGUGGGAUUGAGGUAGCUGGAAUGGAUAGUGUAGCGGUGAAAUGCAUAGAUAUUAUCCAGAACACCAAUUGCGUAGGCAAGUUACUAAGUCUCAACUGACGCUGAGGCACGAAAGUGUGGGUAUCAAACAGGAUUAGAUACCCGGGU